rnacentral:rRNA from 1 species
CAAUAGCGUAUAUUAAAGUUGUUGCGGUAAAAAAGCUCGUAGUUGGAUUUCUGUUGAGAGCGACCGGUCCAUACCAUGUAUGCGUAUCUGGCUUGCUCUCGGCAUCCUCUCGAUAGACGUUACUGCGCUUGAUUGCGUGGUGCGGAUCUCGGGACUUUUACUUUGAGGAAAUUAGAGUGUUCACGGCAGGCUUUCGCCAGAAUACAUUAGCAUGGAAUAAUACUAUAGGAUCUUGGUUCUAUUUUGUCGGUUUCUAGAAUUGAGAUAAUGAUUAAUAGGGACAAUUGGGGGCAUUCGUAUCAACACGUCAGAGGUGGAAUUCUUGGAUUGUGUUGCGACGAACUACUGCGAAAGCAUUUGCCAAGGAUGUUUUCAUUGA